rnacentral:lncRNA from 1 species
UGGCCACAUCAAACUCAAGUUAGAAAAAAUAUAAUUAAAAAAUUGUUAAAUUUCAAUCUUUACCCCUAAAUAAAAUAUUUAUGUCUUUUACCUUAAUAUAACAAAUUGUAAAUAAAACCAUAAAAAGCAAGGAGUAGCAAACAUUACAGUGCAAAGUAAUCCUACUAGUUUUUAGACAUUGACAAACAAGAACAGUGGUGAAUCUAUAAAUUUACAUAAGUGGGGGCCCAUUGGCUGCCUAAGAGGGGGCCCACUGGCUGCCUAAGAGGGGGCCCAAUACUGUCACGCUUCAGUGAUUCCCUAUAUAAUCAACCAAAUAUUUAGCCCCCACAUAAUCUGCCUCUGAAGAAUGUGUCUAUAGUACACUGAUGCCCCAUCUGCACUAUCAUUUUCUAUGUUAAGUUAAGUUAUGUUAAGUCUCUAAUUUAGCAAUAAAAUUAGAAAGAUCAUAGGGAACAUGUUUACUGAGUUUCAAGUUGACUGGACUAAUUUCAUCAAAAACUACAUCGACUAAAAACUUUACCCUGAAGCGGGACAGAAUAGCGGACGAACUUAAGGACGUACAGACCAGAAAACAUUAUACCCAUAAAUGGGGCAUAAAAAACCAAACUCAUUACUUACAAUAAAAAUUAAGGGUUAAUUCAAACAGGUAGUGCCUGUCUAGCAGAUCUGAAAAAGCUUCCUUGGUAUAACAUUAUAAAGUUCCUGAGAAUAUCAAAGUGUUCCUUAAUACAGACACUAAGAAUUAUGCAUCAAUGCAUCAAAAGUUCUAAUGCUAAAAGUUUGAAGUUUUAUCAAACAAGAAGAGACUGCUUGGUAGAUCUGAAAAUUAUCUCCACUCUAAUAAUCAUCAUUACAAAGUUCCAGACCAAUAUUUGAUCAUUCCCUUAUACACAAGUUGAGUAAUAUGCAAUGUAUAUUAAGGACGGAUGAAUAGAUGGACCAAUUGGCAGACAAGUGUAUAACAUUGUACUAUCCACUCUUUUAGUGAGAGUAUAAACAAGAAUGUGUCCAUAGAACACCGAUGCCCCAUCCGCACUAUCAUUUUCCAUGUACAGCGGACCGUAAAAAAUGGGGUAAAAUCUCUAAUUUGGCAUUAAAAUAAGAAAGAUCGUGUCAUGGGGUAAUAUGUGUACUAAGUUUCAAGUUGAUUGGACUUCAACUUCAUCAAAAACUACCUCGACCAAAAACUUUAACCUGAAGCGGGACAGAUGAACAGACGGAUGGACAAACAAAUGGACGGAUGAACUGACGUACAGACCAGAAAACAUAAUGCCCAUAAAUGGGGCAUAAAAAAUUUGAGUUAAGUGUUUAUUCCUUGAAAAAGAUGGUUAGACCUGAUUUAUAAAUGGACCUACAGUUUUCAAUCUAUACAAUGCAAAUGUGUACAGAGUGUUCUUGAACUAUUUAUUGAAGCCAUUUUAAACAUGAAUAAAAGAUAUAUAAUCAUUAUUGCAAUUAUGACAAAAUGAAACAUUAGUUUUACAAUGCUUUCAACAAGAAAUAAAUAAGAACAGCAGUGUUAUGAAUUUGUUUUAAAAAUUGUCUGCUUUUUUGUAGAAACGUCAAACAUCAUUCUAACUUAAAAUUUCUAUGUAAGGCUCAGGGUUAACAAAACAUCUCAGUUACUUUAUAAUUUCAAAAGCAAGAACUUUAUGUGCCAAAUGAAAACUAAAUCAAAUACUUCUUAUCAACACAGAUAAAACAACCACUGUUCAUGCUGAUGGGACUUAACAACUUAUGUUUGUAUUUUUCAUGUACAUUUGAAAAAACACAAAACCUGGAAUAUAUAUUAAUGUAUAAAACAGUCAACCUAAAAU